AUGGCUGACUCUGUCUGGUGUACCAGGAGAGAAGGGGAGAGCACAGCCGACACUGACCGGUGUCCCCAGAGAGGAGGGGACAGCACAGCUGACACUGUCUGGUGUCCCGGGAGAGGAGGGGACCACACGGACAAGACUGACCAGUGUCCCUGGAGAGGAGGGGAUAGUUCCACCGACACUAUCUGGUUCCCCAGAGAGGAGGAGACAAUGCAGUCAACACUGACCAGUGUCCCCAGAGAGGAGGGGACAGUGCCACUGAGAAUGCCUGGGGUCCUGGGAAAGGAGGAAACAGCAUGGCUGACAUUGUCUGGUGUCCCAGAAGAGGAGGGGACAGGGCAGCCAAUACUUCCUGGUGUCCCGAGAAAGAAGGGGACAGCACAGCCAACAAUGCUCCAUGGGAGGAGGGGACAGCGCAACACUGUCCAGUGUCCCAGGAGAGGAAGGAACAGCACGGCCGACACUGACCAGUGUACCUGGAGAGGAGGGGCAGUGCAGCCGACACUGACCAGUGUCCCAGGAGAAGAGGCGACAGCAUGACUGACACUACCCAGUACCAUGUGACAGGAGGUGACAGCAUGGAGGACACUGGCAGGUGUCCUCAAAGAGAAGGGGAGAGCCAUACGACUCUGCCCAGUGUUCCGUGACAGGAAGUGACAGCGCGGAUAACACUGCCUGGUGUCCCUGAAGUAGACAGGACAGUGCGGCCGACACUAUCAGGUGUCCCAGGAGAGGAGGGGACAUCAUAGCUGCUACUGACAGCUGUUAUCAGUGAGGAUUGGACCACGCAGCUGACACUGGCCAGUCCUGGGAGAGGAAGGGACAGUGCAUCAGAUACUGACUGGUGUCCCCGGGAGUAGGGGACAGCACAGCCAACAGUGCACAGGGACCCGUGAGAGGAAUGGACAGCACUGCCGACAGUGCCCGACAUCCCAGAGGGGGAGGGGACAGUGCUGCUGACUCUACCCAGUGUCCAGUCACAGUAGGUGAGAGCACUGAGAGCACAGACAACAACGCUAGGUGUCUACAAAGUGGAGGUGCAGCACAGCUGACACUGUCCGGUGUCCUGGGAGAGGAGGGGACAGUGCAGCUUGCACUGACUGGUGUCCAUGGAAAGGAGGGGACAUCAUGGCCAACACUGUCCAAGGUCCCCAAAGUGGAGGGAACUGCGUGGCUGACACUGUCCAGGGUCCCGGGAGAGAAGGGAACUGUGUGGUCGACACUGUCCAGUGUCCUGGGAGAGGAGGGGACAACGUGGCUGACACUGAAUGGUGUCCCUGGAGAGGAGGGGACAGAGAGGCCGACAUUGCCCCGGGUCCCAAGAGAGGAGGGGAAGCUCAACUGACAACCCAGUGUCCCAUGACAGGAAGUCACAGCGUGGACAACACUGGUAUCUCCAAAUUGGAGGGGACUGUGUGGAAGACAGUGCCCGGAGUCCUGUGACAGGAGGAGACAGUGCAGACGCCACUGCCUGGCGUCCCCAAAGUGGAUGGACAGAGUGGCCGACACUGUUCGGUGUACCAGGAAAGGAGGGGACAGA
rnacentral:lncRNA from 12 species